AUUUACUAAGGCUGAAAAUCAGUACACACAUUCUAAAUUAAAUAUAAAUAAAAGUUAUUAUAGUCGGUCAGCUGUAUGACGGGACAGAGCCGGCCGGUCCCUUAUAAACUGCUUUAUUUAGAGAAUUAGAAAAAAAUGUAAAAUACAAAAGUUAUUCGAUUUUUAAAUUAUGAUUUUUUGACAUAUAUCGUACUAGUGACGUCAUCCAUUUGGGCGUGAUGACGUAAUCGACUAUUUUUUUAAAUGGAAAUAGGGGUCGAGUGCUAGCUCAUUUGAAAGGUUAUUCAAUUCCCUGUUCAGUAAUAUAAACAUUAACAUGAUUACAAUACAGGGUGUCCAAAAUUUUUUUUAAAUUAAAUUAAUUGUUUAAUUAUUAAUUCAAAAAAUUUAUUUGGACACCCUGUAUAAAUAAUGAUCUUAGUGUUUAUAGUACUGUAUAGAGAAUUGAAUAACCUUUCGAAUAAGCUAGCACACGACUCCUAUCCUCAUUUAAAAAAACAGUCGAUUACGUCAUCACGUCCAGAUGGAUGAGGUCACUAGUACGAUAUAUAUGUCAAAAUAUCAUAAUUAAAAAAUCGAAUAACUUUUGUAUUUUACAUUUUUUUCUAAUUCUGUAAAUAAAGCAGUUUACAAGGGGGUCAAAAUAUAGUGAAUAACCCUGUACAUUCAUUGGGGCCGACCGACCGGCUCUGUCCCGUCAUACAGCUGACCGACUAUAAUAACUUUUAUUUAUAUUAAAUUUAGAAUGUGUGUACUGAUUUUCAGCCUUAGUAAAUGGAUUUAAUUACCUUCGUAGGAAAGCAACUUUGAUACCCUCUCAGUAACCCCUGUUCUACGUUUCGCUUGACCGACCGCACUAUGUUUCUCUACACAAUCACAGUAAUCAACUGUGAAAAAUUUAGCUUUAGUAAAUUCAAAGAAAUUUUUCAGCGCUGCCUCUCCGUCUAUUGUUUCUGUGUCCGUAGGAACAUGUAACAAAGUGACAUACCGUUAAUUGUUUUAUUAACUCAAUAGUGUAAAUUACUUCUUUUAGUUAAUCUUUCUCGAAUGGAGCAAACCACUUAUCAGUACAGCAAACAUCACUUUUUGCUGCUUCUACAGGAUCCAUUUUAGCGCCAUUUUUUAAGUAAAUCGUACCCAUGAAACACUGGAGAUACCUUUUUCAUUACAGCUAUUGUCCUUUUCAUGAUCAUUUUUCAGUGCGUAACAAAUGAUAGGAAAAAGGGUAAAUCCGUGAUAAUACACAUUUAUGACAUUUACUCUAACAUUACAUUUUAGUUAAAUCUGACAGUUGUCACAUUUUAUUUUCAAUUUGGAAUAAAAACAAAUCAAAUGUGUUUCUUGCAUUUAUAAAAUGGUAUUUUCUUUGAUUUGUAUAGUCUUAUAAAUUAUACAGAUUAUAUUUGUAAUAUUAUGAUCUAAUUAAAAAAAAAUUAUUUUUUAUUAUGGCGCCAUCUAUCGACAACUAGAAUAACUAGAAGAAAUGUUAUAAAAAUGGCACCGACGAGAUGUAAUCACCGACGUGCCUUUUUUCUGUCUUAGAAAGAAAUCGAAAAACUGUGACGCACUGAAAGAUGAUCAUGAGAAAUACUGUACCUCCAUUUUUCCCGAAUCCUCUUUACAUGCCACACUUCAAAGCCGUACAUUAACCCAAGCCUCUCCACACUCUUGUACAUCUUUCUUUUCAGCCUUUUCCUCAUUUUUGGAUCACAGGGUACCCCGCUCAUUCACUUCGAUAGUCAUUCGAGUUAUCCUUCAUUCGAGGAUAUCGCAAUUCGAUAUAACCAAACAGUCCUGUCUCUCUCAAUCACGUACACUUGAGGUAACAAGAUUAAAACAGGUAGGAACUUGUGAAGAGCCUUACUUUGAUGUACUCUUUCUGAUACAUAUCCUUCACGUGCCUUACGUACUUCUCAGGAACCUGUUUCUCUCUCAUACAUAUCCAUAGCUUUUGCUUAGGAAUUAUGUUGUAAGCCUUCUUAAGAUCCAUAGAUACCAAAUGUAUCUCUCUUCGCUUUUGUAUUCGUAUUUCUCUAUCAACUGUCCCAAAGCAAACAAGGCAUCCUUUGUCCUCCUUCCUGGCAUAAUCCCAAACUGUUAUUCUCCUAUCGAUGUCUCCCUCCUUAGCAUUUGCUCUACAGUCAUCUUCCAAAUUUUCAUUAUGUACGACAUUAACUUUAUCCCUCUAUAAACAGUCCUGAAUCUCACCUUUAUCUUCAUACAGUGAUACCUCACGCUGUCCCUCCAUUCAUUGGGUAUCCUUUCUUUCUCAUAUAUCCUUCUCAUCAUGUGCCACAAUAAAAUUAACCAAUUCCUCUCCUAAAGCCUUCCAAACCUUCACAGGUAUUUCAUCAGAUCAGAUGAAAUACCUGUGAAGGUUUGAAAGGUUAGUGCCUUACCAUUCUUCAUCCUAGUUAAAGCCUCGACAGCCUUACCUCUCGUUAUCUCCGGUAUUGCAUUCCCAUUUGGAGUCCCGCAUCCUCUGUCUAUCCUCUAGUAUUCUUCCUUUAGCAGCUUUUUAAAGUACUCAUUCCACCUUUGAUUUAUUUCAACAUCGGAUCUUGACACUCUACCAUCCGACACUCUUAAUCUGUCGCACAUUAAUCAAGUCCUUUGAUGACAUUCCUUGCUUUUGCAAUGAUCUGCUCGUUUAAACUUUUCAUCUCCUCUGGUGUUCCCAACUUUUCAUACAGCUUUGGAGACGAUCUUUUCUUAGCAGUAGCUAUAGCUAUAGUAGCUAUUCUUUGCUAUCUUGUAUGUAUCAUUUAUGGGAUCAUUAGAUGUUCUUAGAGAGGGAAUAUAGUAUCAUGCCUUAACGUUCGCACUUGACCACAGUGAUACAACACUUUCCCUCAGAAACUAGCCCAUCCAAAGAUUUAUGACUUCGCAGAAAGCCACAGGCUUCCUUAAUAGUGUACAUGGUCUUCGAUAAGCUUACUUACUUACUCCGUGGCGUUACAACCCUUCGUAAGUUUUAGCCGACUCGACAACAUGCCUCCACUCAUCUCUGUCUUGAGCAAUCUCCAUCCAGUUCUCCACGCCCAUAGCUUUCAGGUAUCCUGUACUAUUAUCUCUCCACCGGAGUCUAGGGCGUCUACGUGGUCUCCAUGUUUCAUAUUUAAUUUAUUUGUUCCACUGGACACGCUGCACUGGUGCGAUAGCCAGCGGUAAAGGGAUUACAGUCGAACAAAUCAAUUAAUUUUAAACCAUCGCGACGUUAUAUUGAAAUUUACACUGGUUAAUUGCAAAUCAGAGAUCUCAGUUCAGUACAGCGUAUCCAGUGGAACAAAUGAAUUACAUAUGAAACAUAGCGACGUUGUGUUGAAAUUUACACUGGUUAAUUGCAAAUCAAGAAUCUAACUUACUGCAUUGAAAGUCCUAUGUUCCGAAAAUAAAUUUCCGUACUUACCUGUAUAUGAAUAAGCUGGGGAAUAAAAAUUAUAUUCGCUUUGAGAGAUAUAACUUUAACAUUUGGCCAAACUUGCUUGAAAACUUCUUUUUAAUACUGUUAAGCACACUCCGUACAACAGAACCUGUGUUGGAUUUUUCAAAUUAAAUAUCAACUGUUCGAACUUUAACAAAUGUACAAUCAAUCAUCUAAAUGCUUGUCUUAUCAUCGGUUUUUGUAGUCACCAGUGAAGUGCUGUUAUAUAUUCUAAAAAUACCUACUACAUAGCAUUAGUUUUUGACAUUCGAAACUAGCACAAAAAAGGAAUUGCGCCUGCGCCUGCUUAGAUGACCACCGAACCGUGUUUGAUGUAUCCGUGCCUUUGCGGUACGUGUUUAAUGUUCUCAAUGUAUUCAUAAAAGUCAGAUAUUUUUAAAUUCUAUUUUUAAAAAUCAUUUAACGAAUACUUGAUGGAAUCCGUUGUACAACAGCUGCAAAUGUAUUUGUAUCUGCAGUAGGUGUGUCGUGAAAAUUUAUUUUAUUAAACAAAUAUUUUAUUAAAUAAUUCAUUGAAAACUGCUAUUCCCUUAAUAUGUACAAAAUGUAUUAAUGUCAUAUCAAAAGAAUCGAUAGGGAUACCAAGAAUAAAAUGAUAUCAAAUAAAUGAUGUAGGCAGAGAAAGAAACAAAUUACUAGAAGAAAUGCAAAAUGGAAGAAGUGAGUAAAGGAGAGACCAGAAUUUCAAUCCGGCACCGGAAAAGGCACAAGCAUAUGAGAAGAAAAAAUAAUUGUUUACUAAUUCAUCUUUUUAUUUGUUAUAAUUAUAGGCUCUGUACCUGUUUUUACUUCGGUUCUACGCUCCUAUGUACUGUAUAUCAAAUUAUUGUUGGUCUGCUAACAUUCCUUUCGACUUUGGGUCUUGUCUGAGGUAUCCAGCAUAAGAAUUAUUUUGAACUUCUUUAUCAUUCACGAAUAUUAUAUUCUAAAGUUUUGGGCGGUUCCAAGAAAAUUAAAAACAUAUUUGCUGAUGGGUAGAGCAAUUUUGAUAACGGAUUAAGAGGCUAUCCUAGUGUGAAAGUGCAAAAUUCAUAUACUUUUUUUUUGGGAGUAUUUGAAAUAGAAAUAUUUGAAAUAUUAAAAAAAGAGCAAAUCUGCAUGAGCAUUUAUUGUAAAAAGAAAACUCAAAACAAUUUUCAUAACAAAAUAUUGAACAUUAAACGAUUUAUGCGCCAUCUACUGGCACUGUGAUUGGAGUAAUAGAGAUCCUGAAACAUAAAAUUUCAAAGUGAUUAUUGAAAUAUAAGUUAUUUCCUAUACCAUCAACUAGGAUAUUUGAAAAAUAUUAAAAUUUGGAAAAAUGACGAAGUAUUAAAUUUAUUUUUUAAAUUACCUAAAACAUUUUCUGUUUCAAAAACCACCAAAUUGACAUUUUUUAUCCGAUCAAAAAAACCCCUAGUUCAUAGUAUAGAAAAUAACUUAUAUUUCAAUAAUAACUUUGAAAUUUUAUGUUUCAGGAUCUCUAUUAGUCCCAAUCUUGGCAGCAGUGGAGCUAUGUUUUUAUUUUCACGGUGCCAGUAGAUGGCGCAUAAAUCAUUUAAUUUUCAAUAAUCUUUAAUGAAAAUUGUUUUACAUGUAUUUUUUUUUAUAAUAAAUGCUCAUGCAAAUUUUCAAAACAAUUGGUAGAGUAUUUUUUGAAGAUAUUCUUCUUUAGGCGCGAUUCGAUUGAGAGUAAAAUUGUACAUAAAUCUGCGCGCCUGCGCACACAGACAGUAUGUAGUCCCUUGCUAAUCUUUCAAGAUAGGUAUUUAUGUAUCUGUAUCCGUACAAAUAAGUCAUUAAAAGAAUAUAUUAGUGUUUUUAGUAAAUGUAUUAUUUAUUAUAAUUCUUGUGUUUUUGGAUUUGUGUUUCUCUGUAGUAAAAUAAUAAAAUAUUAUGUAAGCAUAACAUUUUUACACUAUUUGUCGCCGUGUUGUGUAAUUAUAUCCGAAACUUACAUGUCAAUUAGAAGGACCUCGCUGGUGUAGUUGGUAGGGCGUUAGCUCCGAGAUUGGAAUGACGCGGGUUCGAAUCCUGGGCGAUUCAUAUUUUUUUUUUAUUUUUGGUUGUUUUAAUAAAAGUUUUUUGAAAGUGGUAGAUAAGAAAGUUAGUUUAAUUUUUAAAUAAAAUACAAAUAACUUGUUAAGUAUAUUUACUUCGUUGAAAUUACCUAUAUAAUAGAAGAAUAUCUUCUUACGUGUGUACAAAGUACACACACAUUCAUUUUAUUUUAGAAAUUCCCAAAAAAGUAUAUGAAUUUCGUACUUUUACACUAGAAGAGUCCCUUAAUUAUUUGCGGAAAAGUUAUAUGCAGUAUUUUACUUUCAAUAACUUUUUUUAUGCAGAAAUUAUAUACGAGUAUAAAAAUAAAUUAGCGUAUAUGUUGAACGAGGUAUUUAGUUCGACCCAUACACGUUUUUAAAGUUAAGAGCGUAGGACAAAAUUUUGGGCCAAAUGCUUUUUAAAUAUUUUUUUUCGAAUCCUGGAUAAACUAAUAAAUAUUUUUGAAAAAUUUAAACGCAGAAUGAAAGAUUACAUUAUAACCGAGGGUCGAAGGUCCCUGAAAACUUCUAUAAUGUUUAUUUUUAAUAAGUUACAGAGAAGGGUUUUAAGGUGUUUAAGGGUGAAAAAGAAAAGAAAAUUGAGUGUCAUUUUUAAUUUCAAAUAUCUCAUUCAAAAGAAACUUUUUGUUUAUUCUAAGGGACUUUCGGCCGUCGGUAAUAAUGUUAUCUUUCAUUCUGCGUUUAAAUUUUUAAAAAAUAUUUAGAUAUUAGUUUACUCAGGAUUCGAAAAAAAUGAAUGCUCACGCUCUUAAUGUGGUCGAUGCUUUAAUUUGUUUUUGUUAAAAUAUAUAAUUUGAAUUUAAAAGUAUCUGACGCAACGAUACAGUAAAAAGUGUAAUUUUACUCAAGGGUUGUCUUACUCGAAUCGCAGCAUGUGAUUUUUAUACAAGAAGCAAAGUAUUUUGUACGUAAAGAGAAUUUGUUGGUUAGUAUUAGUGUAGGCAAAAGUGAAUGUUGUUUGUUAAACAUAAUAUAGUCCGAUGUUUAAAUUUGCGUAGAUAUGUUGUUUUAAUUGUGGACUACAAUUUUAUCCUAAGACUAAUUAUUAGAAUAUUUUGAAUCUCGGUUACAUGGUACUCGAUUUGUUAGUUAACUUGCUGUUUUAUUUGUUUAAUGCUUAGCCAGAUGCAGCUUUUUAUCGUUGUGUUAGAAGUCUGGAAAGUAAAUUGAUACUCAUUUAUAAUCUUUGCUACAUGGAAAAGUCUUUUUAUAACCUAAAUGAAGAUUAUUGAUGAUAACUACAAAAAACAGCGUUGUCGAAUUCCCCACUAUAAUAUGGGUUGGAUAUAAUUCAUGCGAAAAAGUAAAACCAGUCCUGGCUAAAAUUUAAAAAUUAUUUAUUUAUUGUACUCAGAAAAUGACAAACAGGGUGGACCAAAGAAGACAGUCUACCUCCAUAUUUGGCAGUAGUUAUUAGAUUUUAAGGAAAUGACGGAACAGGUCGAUUUUUGUUCUAAGGGGGACAGAUUUUUACGAUACAUACAUCUGUCAUUUGCCAACCACCUCCCUUCCACUUCCCCAGCAUCUUAUUUUUAAAUAGGGAAUAUACCAUGUGCGGAACAUCAUUAGAAAGGCAUUUAGAUGGAGUAUACAGAUAUAACGACUGUCUACAGACAUAACUGUUAAUUCAUUUGAAGUACAACACCUCUUAAAAAUGAAACAUAACGCCUAUGGUUUGCUAAUAUUUGAUUUUUUCUGUCACAUCCAUAGACUUGUAUAUUAUCAUAGACAGAGUGUCAUUCAGAGCGAAGUGACGACACCAUAUUUUUCUCUUGGCUCAGUGCUGUUUCACUCUUACGCAUAGUAAAACUGCGACAGUAGUCCUCGCAUUCCGUGCCUAUAUUCACACUUAAUGUAAUCUUAGUUCCUCGAUACAAUGUGCUAGAAAGAGAUACCGCAAACCAGUCCAAAAGAUCUUGUCGUCAGGAAGCGCGGAAGUUAGGCUCACUCUAUGUUAAUAUACAGUGCUAGUCAAAAGUCCGUACCCCCCCUCUUAUCUUUUGAACGGUUAUACGUACAAAAGUGAAAUUUGGAGGGAGGAAAUAAACGGACAUAAGCUCCUUAACUAGUCAUGACAGGUGACGUACUAGUGACAGAUGACGUUACAGAGCCACUGUGACCGAUAAUUUUAAAUGGGACCUUAUGGCAAGUGAUACCUCGUUUGAAAGGUAUUUAAAAUACCUAUUCAGCCAUACUAAUUUUUUUGGGUGUAGGUGGAUUUUUAUUUUGGUGAAUAAAUUAAAUAAAUAUAAUAUUGUAGUUUCUCAUUUAAUUAACAAAAAUUCAAAUGUCCGCCUAUGGUUUCUUUGUCAAAAAAUUUGACGUUUUUCAAUUUUCUAGUAGUUUUUACGUAAACUUCAACCCUUUUGACAAGUAAUCAUAGGCAGAAUUUUGAAUUUUUAUUAAUUAAAUGCGAAACUACAAUUUUAUAUUUAUUUCAUUUUUUCAUCAAAAUUAGCUUAAACUCAAACAAAAUUAGUAUAAAUGAAUAGGUAUUUUCAAUACCUUUCAAACGAGGUAUCACUUGCCAUAAGGUCCCAUUUAAAAUUAUCUGUCACAGUGGCGCUGUAAAGUCAUCUGUCACUAUUACGUCAUCUGUCAUGACUAGUUAAGAAGCUUACGUCCGUUUAUUUCCUCCCUCCAAAUUUCACUAUUAUAGGUAUAACCGUUCAAAAGAUACGAGGGGAGGGUACGGACUUUUGACUAGCACUGUAUACCUCUAUGGUCACAUCAAAAGUAAAUGUGACGUGACAGUAAAAAUUACAUGUUAGCAAACCAUAGACGUUACGUUACCUUUUUAAUAGGUGUUGUACUUCAAAUGAAUUGACAGUUUUUCUGUAAAGACGGUGCAAAUAUCGAAAAAAAAAUCGUGAACGAUUGUUAUGUCUGAGUACUCCAUCUAAUGCCUUUCUAAUGAUGUGCCGUACCUGGUAUAUUCCCUAUUUAAAGAUAAGGUGAUGGGGGAGUGGAAAGGAGGGGGUUGAAAAAUGUAUGUAUCGUAAAAGUGUAUCUCCCUUAGAAUAAAAAUCGAUCUCUGUUUCGUCAUUUCCUUAAAAUCUAAUAACUACUGCUAGGGAUGGUCUCCAGGCAAGCCGAGCUCGAGAUCGAAGCUCGGCUUGAACUUCGAGCUGCAAGUUGAGCUCGGGUCGGCUCGGCUCGUGGCCCGUUCAUAACAUAAUAAUGAAUAUAAAAUGUAACACUCGUAGUAAUUUACGGACACACUGUAUAUUGAAAAUACAUAUUUGUAGUAUGAAUUACUUAUUCUCAAACAAAAGUAUCAGUCAUAGCAGAAAUAAAUUAAUUAGAAAAAGUAUUAGAGCAUUAGCUAAAAUAUUGACAAGUUUGCUAAAGAAAGCUCGGCUCGUUUCGAAUUCAGUUCGGUUCGGCUCGCAAGAAUGAAACUGAGCUAAGCUCGAGCUUGUGACCAUCCGUAACUACUGCCAAAUAUCGAGGUGGACUGUUUUCUUUGGCCCACCCUGUAUAUUAACAAUAAAGGUGUAAUCGAAUAGAUGAAUGUAGAAACGAAUGAAGUAACAUUUGUCAAGUUUUUAGAUAUUUUGCAAUAUUGUAUUAGAAAGACAAGCGGAUAGAACUAGAAUGUAUGAUUUUGGAAAUAUUCUGAAUGAUAAAAAAUAGCAAGAGAUAAAUCACCAAUCGGUAGAAGUAUCGGCCGAACGCGAAAGAAUGGAAUAACAACCUUCCAUAGAGGUAUUAAUCCGCCCAUGAACAAGCAGAAUUACUUAUAAAGAGGAAGAAGAAGAUAAAAAAUGUAUGUUUUCUGUUAAAAUUUUUGUGGUUUAAGUUCUUCUUGUCUUUCAUUGCCUCGUCUCAUAGGCGUAACCAGGAUGAUCCUAAGGGGGGGGUUACAACUACCUGAAAGGGGGGGUUACAACUACUGGAAGGUCUCUGAGGGCUAUGGUGUUAAGCGUAGAGAGCUCAAAGUACAUCCUAAUGGGGGGGGGGGGUUACAACCCCCAAAACCCCCCCUGGUUACGCCUAUGCCUCGUCUACUUCAUUCCUCUACGAACUCCUGAAUCUGCCUUUUUUUCUCGUCCCCAUGGGACUCAAAUCUGUUCUUUUGAAUAUCCACUUAUUUAUAUCUGUUCUUUUAACGUGCCCAUACCAAUUUAUUUUUUCUUCUAUAUAUUCCGGCACUUUCUUAGUUGUCCCCAUUCUGCUUUUAAUUGCUAUACUAUAGAGUAUAGAGUAUUGAGUGGAAAAUGUUUGUUUUUAUGUUCUUUGUGAUGUGGCUGUUCUAUAGCACCGGAUUUAACGGGAAUGGGACGUUUCAUCGCCGCCGUUUCGAUGCCGCCGGUUCAUCGCCAGUCCAUUUCAUCGCCGUCCGUUUCAUCGCCAGUUAGUCAGUUUAUUUUGUAUUAUGGGAGAUGACACGACACGACGUUAAAUUCAGUUCAAAACUUUUGACAAUUAAAAAGAUAAAAAAUAUUAUUUACUGUUCUACUUCCCCUAAAUUUUUGUACAGAAAUGUUGAGUUCUUUUCGAAUUUAAGAAACAGUUUCUCUUGGUUUUAAUUGUUGACCGUGAAAUUUAAAAGAUUAUCAUUAUAAUAUAUUUUAUAUUAUAAAAGUUUAAAAGUCUAUUAAAAGAUUAAGUAUGGCAACGGACAUGGUCAUUUCCUAGAAUUCCUGAUUAAUACUAAAAAUAAAUAAUAAAUAUAACUGUCCAAAAUUCGGAAAUAUAUCAGAUAGCGAUUAACUCACUGUCGAUGAAUCGGCCGGCGAUGAAUGGGCCGGCGAUGAAUCGGCCGGCGAUGAACUGGCGGCAUCGAAACGGCGCGCGGCGAUGAACUGGCGGCGAUGAAACGUCCUAGACCCGGAUUUAACAGCUUGAUACACGUUCUUGUUUGACCCAGUCGAUUUUUUUUCUUCUUCGGUUGUUUCGUUCUUUGAAACUAAGACUCCUAAGUAAAAUUUGUUUGUGCCUUUUAUUUGUACGAUGUUCGUUUAAAAUGUCCUUCUUUGAGUACCGAACUCAAAUUUUCGUUGUGGGUAGCUUCCUUGACAAUUUAUCGAUGUCGUCCUCGAUGUUGCGCGGCUUGUAGCGCAAUUCAUCUGCUGAUAAGCCAAUUCAUUGACAAAGGUUUCGGAUCCAUGAAUAGUUCUUCCUACCAAUUCCUCUUUUUCCGUUGAGUAUUAACUGCAGUAUCCAGUAUCUGUUACCUCUCAUUAUAUGCCCCAGAUAUUCAAGUUUUCUCUUUUUAUGAUCUUCAUCAAGUCACUUUCGCAUUGUUGACCUACUCUGUUUAAGAUUUCUCUGUUUGAAAUGCGUUAAACCCAUGAUAUUAUGAGCAUUCUACGAUAUGACCACAUCUCGAAGGCUUUUAAUUUGUUCAUCUUAUUAACCUUCAUGAUCCAGGUUUCACACCCAUAAGGAACUAGUACACUUUAGAAGACCAAAAAUAAUCAUUUUUUUCUAGAAUUUUUUUCUCAGAACCUUUAUUAAAAAUGAAAACAAAACUUUUUACAUAUUAAUAUCUAACUCUUAGAGAGUACAAAAAAUAUAUCUUUUUUCAUUUAUUCUCGUACACUAAUUUUGUAGAGGGAACAAAAGUCGAGGCUCGAAAAAUGAUGGCGGACAGUUAAUCUCAGGAUUGGGAUAUCUGAAAUAAAAAAAUCGUACUGCAUUUGAAAAAGGAAGGUUUCGUACGUGACAAUUUACCACAAUUUGGCCAAAAAAUAAAAAAAAAUUUUUACCAUGAAAAAACUGAAGAAAAGCGGGCGAUUUUUUCACAAAAAAUUUUCAAAUUUCCUUAAAAUCUUUUUUUUGCCGAAUUUUUCACUAACGGUGGUAAUUUGUCACGUAAGAAACCUUCCUUUUUCAAAUGCCGUACAAUUUUUUUGUUUCAAAGAUUCCAGCCCUGAGAGUAACUGUCCGCCAUCGAAACUACUUUUUGUCGAGGCCUCGACUUUGGCGCCCUCUACAACAUUAGUGUACAUGUAUAAAUGAAAAGAGAUAUAUUUUUUGUAUUCUCUAAGGCAAGCCGCACACCAACGAAACAUGAAACGAAAAACAUGAAACGUAAAACACGUUUCAUGAAAAUUAAACACGGCUAAACAAAUCUUGAAGUCAGCCUACCAAUAAAACGAGUGUGAUUCAUGCUCAUAACACGUUUUUAUUUUCGGAAAGUUUCAUAAAUGGCCGGACGUCUAUUUGUUUAGCAGUGUUUUAUUUCCAUGAAACGUGAUUUACGUUUCAUGUUUCUUUGAUGUGCCUGCCUGCCUAAGCCAAGCCGCACACCAAAGAAACAUGAAACAUGAAACGAAAAACAUGUUUCAUUAAACUAAAACACUGCUAAACAAAUCUCAAAAUCCGCCUACCAAUGAAACGAGUGUGAUUCAUGCUCAUGACACAUUUUUAUUUUCGGGGAGUUUCAUAAAUGGCCGGACGUAUAUUUGUUUAGCAGUGGUUUAUUUCCAUGAAACGUAAUUUACGUUUCAUGUUUCUUUAAUGUGCGGUUGGGCUAAGAGUUAGAUAUUCAUAUGUAAAAAGUUUUAUGUUCAUUUUUAUUAAAGGUUCUGAGAAAGAUAAUCUUGAAAAUACAUAUGCAUAUUUUUGGUCUUAUAAAGUGUACUAGUACCUUAAAGUAUUACAGGAUACACAUAACAUUUCAGGAACUUUAUUCUUAGUUGUAAGUUCAGCUGAGAAUAGAUCUAAAUUUCAUAAAUGCUCCUCUUGCAAUUUAUGUACGAGUUUUAAUUUUUUCAUCAGGAUUUAGUGUGUCGUUUAUUCAACAUCCUAGGUAUUUAAAAUGGUUAACUUUUGUUAUCGGUUAAUUACUGACAAUUAGUUGCAUAGAGCCGGCGCGCGACGUCUUGUUUGCUAUGAUGUUAACUCUUGUUUAAAAUGAUGUUACAAAAUGUCAUAAAAACAAUGAACAGAUGUCUUCGCUUCCACAAGAAUUUAUUAAGUUUUAUAGUUCAGAAAAUAUGUUAGGGGUGAUACUUUAGACCUAAAUACUAGAUUUAUUGUAAAAGGUAUGUUUUAUAUUAAUAUACCCUAAAAAAGGGUCACAAGACAAAACGUUUUCGGAUUAAGAAAUCCAUCAUCAGUGUUCUAAAAGCCAAAAAAUAGCAUGCCUGAGCCACCAAAAUGUGUUGGGCAAAAACCCUUUAAAUGUAAAAGAUUAUGUUAUGUUACAUAUUUGAAUAAAAUGUUAAUGAUGUUCUAGAUAUGCCUGAAUGUUACCCAGGGCAACACAGGACUCUUCCCACGCGGUUGGAAUUUUUUUUGGAGAAAACCUCACAUAUUGGAUUUCAAUGGCCAACUGGUAACAUCCAGGCAUAUCUAGAACAUCAUUAACAUUUUAUUCAAAUAUGUAACAUAACAUAAUCUUUUACAUUUAAAGGGUUUUUACCCAACUCACUUUGGUGGCUCAGGCAUGCUAUUUUUUGGCUUUUAGAACACGUUUCUUAAUCCGAAAACGUUUUGUCUUGUGACCCCUUUUUAGGGUAUUUUAAAAUAUACCUUUUACAAUAAAUCUAGUAUUUUUGUGAUUUAUGCUAUACAGCUAGCUACAGGAAAUUUAUUUUCUUCGUGGACUUUAGACAUAUGUACUUUGUAUUAAAAUUCAGAUACGUCAGUAAACGAUGGUACAAUUAGAAAUGUCGUCCAUAUUUAAGUUUUCUCACAACGGUUUCCUAUUGCUAAGAUUCUUAGUUAAAACUAUGAUUUUAACUUUUAUUACAGUAAUUUAAAAAAGUUUUACUUGUUCAAAUUAUAAUCGUUAAAAAGAUGCAUCUGGCUGCACUCGUUUAUCGAAAGAAAUGUUUUUAUUUAACGGCGAUUAUAGCUUUAGUAUAAAUGAUAUUAAAAGUUUGUAUUUUGGUGAUUUUUUUUCACUGUUUUACGCAGCUAAUUGUUGGAUUUUGUAUAGUAUAGUUUAUUUUAACAAUAAUAUUUAACUUUUUCAAUAGUAUGAUUUUUACUAGUCAUUUUUAUUAUAUUAUUAUUAAUAUUUCAUAUUGUAUUUAUCGAAUAUUGUGUAAUGUUGUAUAAAAAUUGUUUUAUUAUUGUAGAUGAACUUAAUAUAUUGGUUUUCUCUUA